UGGGGAAUAUUGCACAAUGGAGGGAACUCUGAUGCAGCGACGCCGCGUGAACGAAGAAGGCUUUCGAGUCGUAAAGUUCUUUUAUAUGUGAAGAUAAUGACGGUACCAUAAGAAAAAGCCCCGGCUAACUACGUGCCAGCAGCCGCGGUAAUACGUAGGGGGCUAGCGUUGUCCGGAAUCACUGGGCGUAAAGGGUUCGCAGGCGGAAAUGCAAGUCAGGUGUAAAAGGCAGUAGCUUAACUACUGUAAGCAUUUGAAACUGCAUAUCUUGAGAAGAGUAGAGGUAAGUGGAAUUUUUAGUGUAGCGGUGAAAUGCGUAGAUAUUAAAAAGAAUACCGGUGGCGAAGGCGACUUACUGGGCUCAUUCUGACGCUGAGGAACGAAAGCGUGGGUAGCAAACAGG
rnacentral:rRNA from 1 species